rnacentral:tRNA from 1 species
GCUCCCAUGGCAUAGUGGUCACUGCACUCGCCUUGCACGCGGGAGACCCGGGUUCGAUUCCCGGUGGGGUCA